ACACAGAGAUUGAAGAAAUAAAGCUUUCAAAAAUAAUGUCAUAAAUAGGUUUUAUUCAUCAAUUAACUUCUUUUAACUAAAUCAAAUCAAC